AAAUGACAAGGACCGCCUCAGUGUGAAGGCGGCAGAGAGCAAGCGUGGAGGACUAAAACGUUUAUAUCUGUGUGAAAUGUUUCCCACUCGGGUCAGAAUGGAAGAAGACAGAGCAGCAAGUGGCGUCCCGAGUUCGGAGGAAGACGCGGAGUUUCAGGGUGCUGAAGGUGUUUGAGAGGCGGCGACAUGUCGCCCACUUUUUACGUUAUGCUUUCGCCUUCUUUGUAAGUCCUGCAGGCUCUCGCCCUGCAGCGUGGAGGAGAGGGGAGUGUCUGUUUGAAGAUAAUCAUCAUCACACAGCGUCAUUAAGCAAAAACUAAAUAGUUGAAUAAACGCAGUGUGUAAUACGGUGACUGUUCCUCUGGUGUUUACCGUUUUCUUCUUCUCUCGCUUCCGGGCUUCCCCUGGUAACCCUGGUAACCUCCAUGUUUCACGUCAUACCGCUAUGAACUGUGGGCAAUUCCCUCAGGCAAAGUCUGCAGAAAUGCGGACUUACGAAAAGGCUCUAUAGAGAGCCUAAGUCCCUCCCCUUCAGGUGGACCACCAUGGGACCUUAUUACGGAAAAAUACUGUACGGUAGUCAACGGCGAGGGACAACAAAUGUUUUGAUGCCGUUUGAAUCGUGCCCUGAAUCGCACACGCAAUGUUUGUCAAUUUAAAAGAUACAUUUUAAAGUCAAGAAAGUCGCAGUUUGAUGUAAAACUGUUGAGGUAUCAGACUUUGAAAAUACGGAAUUACAAAGACCACAAACCCAAAAGUCACGUACGUGAUGUCGUAACUGUCUCUUAACGACUGAAGCUAACGUUUCUGAAGCUAACGUAUAAAAACUUGCAUGAGCGGAUGAUGUGAUAAAAGGACUGAGAGUCGUUGAGAUAUAUUUCUGCGUGGAACACAGCUGAGUUAUCCAGCUAGUAGCCACCAAGCAACAAACGUUAGCUUAGCAUUACCGCGCUAACAUGUUGGUGCGAGACGAGAGAUGCAGUUCGUUUAACAGUUUUCACACAAAACCGCACGUAACUUCACUGUUUUACAACAAAAUGCGACUUUCUUGACCAGCAAAAUUACAUUUUAAACUGACCAACAUCAUGUGUGAUUCAAGGCUCGAUUCUAACGGGAUAAAAAAAUAAGUUGUCUCUCGCCGUUGACUCCCGUACAUAUUUUACCGAAGUAAGGUCCCAUGAGCCGGAGGCGGAGGCGAGUGACUUCUGUCCUGGGCUCAAAAUGUCCACGAGACAGCCCUCGCGCACUUGACGGUUGGGACGGCCCUAAAGCCCUCACGGGCGUCCCGGGAACGCGCCUCAGAGUGUGCGAGUCUGUGAGGGGGGACGUUGUGAUUGGGCCAGAGUCACCACGCGGAGGGAAGGAUAGACUCCACCCCUGAGUUACAGAACAGACACUGAAUGAAUACUGAUCCUCAAUAACAAUAUAACAAAUGUUCAAUGAAUGUUUGAUUUAUUUUAAUCACGAAUGAAUUAGCACUUCAUUUUUCUAUUAAGAUAUUUGUUUUGUGGAGGAAAAGAAACUGAAAAAGAUUUAGUAAGUAUAGUUUUAUAGUAAGUAAGGAUUUUAUCAGAAUAGUUCUGCUGUUUGGCUUCAAGUGUUUGUUCUGACCAGAAAGAAAAGUUUAAAAAACAAUCAGGUUUCUUUAUUUAUUUUCACCCAGGAGCUAAAAUCAGAGAUCAAAGAAAUGAUCGAUAUCGAAUGAUGCGAAGUUUUUUUAUCUUUAUUUUUUGAUAUCGUUUUUGGUCGCACAGGGGGAAUAUUUCAUCCAGGAGGUGGCGCUCAGGCAACGUUUUAAAUGCCAACCGCCAUAAACCACGAAGAAGAAGAAGUAGAACCAUUGGAGGAAGCAGCUACGUGCUCUCCGGCACGUUCUGGUGGCUAACUGAAGCUAACAGGCUAUUCUGCUGCUGCAGGGGUCCGAUCCAGCACAGAGUCUGGCUUUGUUCAGACCCGGUUCAGGCCGUGAACUGUAGCUCCGCUCCGGCAGCAGAGAAUCAAAACAGAGCUAACGCUGAAGCUAGCCGGAGCUAGCAGCUAGCCGGAGCUAACAGCUAGCCGGAGCUAACAGCUAGCCGGAGCUAACUGCUAGCCGGAGCUAACAGCUAGCCGGAGCUAACUGCUAGCCGGAGCUAACUGCUAGCCGGAGCUAACGCUGGUUAGCAGCCUGAGAGCUGAGCGACAUGGCGACAGAGGAGAAGAAACCAGAGACUGAAAACAAGCCGCCUUCAUCCUCCUCAGGGUCCGGCAGCAAGGGACUAGAACAACGACUCUGAUCUGGACCUUGUUGUGAGACCGUUUCUGUGGUCUCUGUGAUGAAGGACGGGUUCUGGUCUCAGCGUGCGCACGGGUCCGGCCUUCCCCCCUGAAUGUUUACAGACCUGAAACCUGUUCCUGUGUUCUCAUCAUUAUCAGGCCUGCAGCUUGUUGAUGGGGACCAGGAACAGGGUCCACAUCUCCCAGAUCCUGGACUCUCCUCCCUGGUGACGGCUCAGAUGUAGAGUGGAUUUGAAGGUGCUGCUAGUAGUUCUCAGGGCCUUACACGGACCUGCUCCAUCCAGAUCUCCUGACGUUGUUUCUCCUCUAAGCUCCUUAUACCAACAGGGGUGUUAAAUUCUUUUUUUGUGGACGAGUCUUCCUGCAGCUGAAGUAACGAGGACACGAUGCAGAUUUGUUAAAAAUAUGAGCAGGACGACAAGCAGACAACUUUUAAAAGGUCUGUUUUCUGAAUGGAGUUUGGCUCCAUCAGGGCAGCGCUGGAAUCUUUCUGUCCUUCAGGCUCCGCCCACACUGCUACGUCUUUGUUUUAAACUCAGACCUCCUGCUACGUCUCCUCCUGCCUCCGUGUUCGUGCUGACAGCUGGUGACGCUCCCGUCUGGCUCUCUGAUUGGCUCUGAUCAGUCAGUCAAAGCAGGAACACGAUGCUGCUGACAGAGUUUUAUUAAAGUAUUGUGUAAAUAACAUUUCUACUCUUGUACUCUGCAUGUCUCCGUAUUUUAGACUCGCAGCCUGUUUCCCGCCACAUCAGUUCCGCCUCGCUGCUCUGCGUUCGUCUCUAAGGGAACGUUCUUCUGCAGCCGGGUAUUCGUCUCUGUCCUCCACACUCCGAAGCGGUCGGUGGCGUCAGAAAGUCACGUCUCUCCUCGUGUUGGCGUUGACUUUGCACGUCAGCGUGUUGUGUGUGAAAGCGGCAUCAGAUCUUCAGACCAGUUCCUUUUAGCCGUUCCACAGUCUGGGAUUAAAACAAAGGCCCCGGC